rnacentral:rRNA from 1 species
GAUAAUUGAUUAAUUUAUUUAUUAUUAAUUUAAAUUUUAUUAGGUAGGUGGUUUAAUAAAAGUAUUUUUUUUUUUUUAUAAAUUUAGAUAAAAUUAUUUUUAUUAUAAUUUAUUAGUAUAGAGAUAGAAUAUUGAAAUAUAAAUUAAAUUUUAAAAAGAAAAUUUAAAUUAUUGUACCUCGUGUAUCAGGGUUUAUUAAUUAAUAAUUAGUUAUAUAAUUUUCUCGAAUUUAAAAGAGCUAAGAAAUUAUAAAUUUUAUUGUUAAAUAAAUAUUUAAAAUAAUUUUUUAGUAAUGAAACGUUAUUCGUUUUUAAAUUUAUCUAGUUUUUUAAGAAAUGAAUUUAAUUCAGUUAUUUAUUUUUAUUAAUAUUAUUCAUAAUUAAUAUAAAAUAAGUAAUUAAUAUUUUAAGGGAUAAGCUUUAGAAUAAAUUAUUUAUAAAUAAUAAUAAUUUUUAAAAUUUAUAGAAUUGGAAGUGUUUAUUUUGAUAGUGUUUUAUAACAAGUUUUAUAUUAAAUAUAAUUUUUAUAUUAUUUUAAAUUUUUUAUUAAAAUUAUUAAUUUAAUAGUUAAAUUAAUGGAAUAAUGAUAGAAUUAGUAUAAAUUAAUGUUUGUAUAAUUUAAUUUUUAAAGGUUAAGUUAAGGAAUUCGGCAAAUUUUUUUUUCGCCUGUUUAUUAAAAACAUGUCUUUUUGAUAAUAAUUUAAAGUCUGACCUGCCCAAUGAUUUAUUUGAAUGGCCGCGAUAUUUUGAUCGUGCAAAGGUAGCAUAAUAAUUAGUUUUUUAAUUGAGAACUGGAAUGAAAGGUCGAACGAGAAAAUAACUGUCUCAAUUUAAGUUUAAAUUAGAAUUUUAUUUUUAAGUAAAAAAGCUUAAAUAAUUUUAAAAGACGAGAAGACCCUAUAGAGUUUGAUAUUUGUUGAUUAUUUUUUAAUUUUUAGAAUUUAAUUUUAAAAUUAAUUUAAAGUAUUUAAUUGGGGUGAUUGAAAAAUUUAAUGAACUUUUUUUAUAUUAUAUCAUUGAUUUAUGAUUGAAUGAUCCAUAUUUUAUGAUUAAAAGAUAAAAUUACCUUAGGGAUAACAGCGUAAUUUUUUUUGAGAGUUCUUAUCGAAAAAAUAGAUUGCGACCUCGAUGUUGGAUUAAAAUUAACUUAUGGUGUAGAAGCUAUAAAUGUUAGGUCUGUUCGACCUUUAAAAUUUUACAUGAUCUGAGUUUAAACCGGUGUAAGCCAGGUUGGUUUCUAUCUUUAAAUUAUUUAAAUAUUUUAGUACGAAAGGAUCAAAUAUUUAUAAUAAUUAUUUUAAUUGUGAAUAUUAUUAAAUUUUAUAAAUUACUUUGGCAGAAUAGUGUUUUAAAUUUAGAAUUU